GACGAACGCUGGCGGCGUGCUUAACACAUGCAAGUCGAACGAAGAGCGAUGGAAGCUUGCUUCUAUCAAUCUUAGUGGCGAACGGGUGAGUAACGCGUAAUCAACCUGCCCUUCAGAGGGGGACAACAGUUGGAAACGACUGCUAAUACCGCAUACGAUCUAAUCUCGGCAUCGAGGAAAGAUGAAAGGUGGCCUCUAUUUAUAAGCUAUCACUGAAGGAGGGGAUUGCGUCUGAUUAGCUAGUUGGAGGGGUAACGGCCCACCAAGGCGAUGAUCAGUAGGCCGGUCGGAGAGGAUGAACGGCCAAAUGGGGACGGAAACACGCCCCAGACCCCUGGGGGGGGGAGCAGUGGGGAUGCUUCCGCAGUGGACGAAAGUCGGACGGGGAAACCCCGCGUGGUGGAUGCCGGCCUUCGGGUUGAAAAGGUCUGUUAACGGGGAGGAAAGGACUUCUUGCGAAAAUUUAGAAGGAUUGCGGGUACGGGAAAAGAAAGCCACGGCAAACUACGGC
rnacentral:rRNA from 1 species